rnacentral:misc_RNA from 1 species
GAAAUGCGAUAAGUAAUGUGAAUUGCAGAAUUCAGUGAAUCAUCGAAUCUUUGAACGCACCUUGCGCUCCUUGGUAUUCCGAGGAGCAUGCCUGUUUGAGUGUCAUGGAAUUCUCAACUCUAUUUGCUUUUGUUAAUAGAGCUUGGAUUUGGAGGUUUAUUGCUGGUACUUGUGAUCGGCUCCUCUUGAAUGCAUUAGCUCGAACCUUUGCGGAUCAGCUAUCGGUGUGAUAAUUGUCUACGCCGUUGCAGUGAAGCAUAUCAAUGGGCUCGGCUUCCAAUCGUCCUUUACUGGACAAUGACUUUGACCUUUGACCUCAAAUCAGGUAGGAUUACCCGCUGAUCUUAAGC